CAGUGUGGUUAGGCAGAAGGUUCCCAGUGUGGUCAGGGUUAGGCAGAAGGUUCCCAGUGUGGUCAGGGUUAGGCAGAAGGUUACCAGUGUGGUCAGGCAGAAGGUUCCCAGUGUGGUCAGGGUCAGGCAGAAGGUUCCCAGUGUGGUCAGG